rnacentral:ncRNA from 1 species
UCGAGCCGUGUGCACCGAAAGGUGCAAGCACGGUUCCUAUGGGAGCUACGCUCGGUAACGGGCGUUAGCUUACCAGGCGGGUUCUUGCGCUGGACCCGUAGCCAAUUCCGCCACCUGAUAGCCAUUUUCAGCCAGUUCCUCUAAGAAUGAAUCGUCUGAUUUUAAAUUAGAAUAAUCCUACUUACCAACAU